CCCUUAGAUGUCCUGGGCCGCACGCGCGUUACACUGAUGCAUUCAACGAGCAUAUAACCUUGGCCGAGAGGCCUGGGUAAUCUUGUUAACAUGCAUCGUGAUAGGGAUAGAUUAUUGCAAUUAUUAAUCUUGAACGAGGAAUUCCUAGUAAUCGCAGUUCAUCAAACUGCAAUGAUUACGUCCCUGCCCUUUGUACGCACCGCCCGUCGCACCUACCGAUUGAAUGGUCCGGUGAGGACUCGGGAUUGUGGUUUAGCUCCUUCAUUGGGGCCUGACUGCGAGAACUUGUCCGAACCUUAUCAUUUAGAGGAAGGUGAAGUCGUAACA
rnacentral:rRNA from 1 species